GCCUUCGUGGUGUAGUGGUCAGCACGCUCGAUGCGUAACCGAGAGGUCCGUGGUUCGAUUCCCGGCGAAGGCA
rnacentral:tRNA from 1 species